rnacentral:rRNA from 1 species
GACGAACGCUGGCGGCGUGCCUAAUACAUGCAAGUAGAACGCUGAAGGAGGAGCUUGCUUCUCUGGAGGAGUUCCGAUCGCGUGAGUGUCGCGUAGGUAACCUGCCCGGUAGCGGGGGAUAACAAUUCGAAAAGAUAGUUAAUAUCGCACAAGAGUAGAUGUAGCAUGACAUUUACUUAAUAGUUGCACUUUCAGCACUACCAGAUGUCCCUGCGUUGUUUUAGCUAUUUGGUGAGGUAACGCCUCACCAACGCCACGAUACAUAUCCGACCUGAGAGGGUGAUCGGCCACACUGGGACUGAGACACGGCCCAGACUCCUACGGGAGGCAGCAGUAGGGAAUCUUCGGCAAUGGACGGAAGUCUGACCGAGCAACGCCGCGUGAGUGAAGAAGGUUUUCGGAUCGUAAAACUCUGUUGUAAGAGAAGAACGAGUGUGAGAGUGGAAAGUUCACACUGUGACGGUAACUUACCAGAAAGGGACGGCUAACUACGUG